rnacentral:ribozyme from 1 species
AAUAUGAAAGAAAGAAGAAAGAUGAAAAACGAAGUUUAUUUUGUAUGGUGUCGAAUGCAUUUUUUUUUUUUUUUUGUUUUUUUACUUAUAUUAUGAUCAUGGGUGGCAAUUACUGGGUUACAGUGAGGCAUUGAGUACUUAAAGACUUCAUUGA